UAACAUACGGUCACAUUUUCAUUUUCUUGUAAUUAUUCUAUUUUCAUUUUCUUGUAAUUAUUCUUUUUUCUUUUUUUCUUUUUCAUUUUCUACUUAUAAUUAGUAUUUUAGCAUAUUUUUUAAUCUGCAUAACUUAUGUUAAUUGUUUAAUUAUCAGAAUAUAGAAGAUGACAUUUUAUGUUCUUUAGGAUAUAAGUAUAUAUUUAUAAAAUUUUGAUGUUCAAUACAUGUCUUUCGAAACUAAUUAAUGUCAAGGUUUGUUACUCAUUACAUGUUUGAUUGAUUUAUAUAAUUGAGGUUGUAAUUAAAAUAAAUAUUUACUUUACAAUACUUAAUAGAAAACUCUAGUUCAUAAUCACUUUAUGAUUGUAUAAACAAAAUAAAAAGGGUAAAAAAAAACGUACUGCUGAAAAAUUGUCAUAUUUUUCUUUUUUUUCUAUCUUUUAUGAGUAAUUUUCUUUCUUAUCUUUCAAAUGUACAAAUCAAGUGAUUUCUGAUAUAGGUUGAUCUUUUGAUGGUUACACAUCUCAAACUUGUUUAUUUUGUCACUCUAUUCAUCUGUGUUUCCUCUUAUUUUCAAUUUUAUUCUUGCGUCACCAAUGAUUAUGAUAGGGUUUUUCGUAUUGUUUUGAUGAGAUUGAGAUGUUUGUUAGGAUUAUGAGGAUCUCACAAUAAUAAAGGUGGUGCUAAUGUAACACUGGAAAAAUGAUUGAGUUGGUUUCCUUUAUAACAUACGGUCUCAUUUUCAUUUUCUUGUAAUUAUUCUAUUUUCUUUUUUUCUUUUUCAUUUUCUUGUAAUUAUUCUUUUUUCUUUUUUUCUUUUUCAUUUUCUACUUAUAAUUAGUAUUUUAGCAUAUUUUUUAAUCUACAUAACUUAUGUUAAUUGUUUAAUUAUCAGAAUAUAGAAGAUGACAUUUUAUGUUCUUUAGGAUAUAAGUAUAUAUUUAAUUAAUUUUGAUGUUCAAUACAUAUCUUUCUAAACUAAUUAAUGUCAAGGUUUGUUACUCAUUACAUGUUUGAUUGAUUUAUAUAAUUGAGGAUGUACUUAAUAUAAAUAUUUACUUUACAAUACUUAAUAGAAAACUCUGGUUCAUAAUCACUUUAUGAUUGUAUAAACAAAAUAAAAAGGGUAAAAAAAUACGUACUGCUGAAAAAUUGUCAUAUUUUCCUUUUUUUUCUAUCUUUUAUGAGUAAUUUUCUUUCUUAUCUAUCAAAUGUACAAAUCAAGUGAUUUCUGAUAUAGGUUGAUCUUUUGAUGGUUACACAUCUCUAACUCUCUCAUUUUGUCACUCUAUUCAUCUGUGUUUCUUCUUAUUUUCAAUUUUAUUCUUGCGUCACCAAUGAUUAUGAUAGGGUUUUCGUAUUAUUUUGAUGAGAUUGAGAUGGUUGUUAGGAUUAUAAGGAUCUCAAAAUAAUAAAGAUGGUGCUAAUGUAACACUGGAAAAAUGAUUGAGUUGGUUUCCUUUAUAACAUACGGUCACAUUUUCAUUUUCUUGUAAUUAUUCUAUUUUCAUUUUUUCUUUUUCAUUUUCUUGUAAUUAUUCUUUUUUCUUUUUUUCUUUUUCAUUUUCUACUUAUAAUUAGUAUUUUAGCAUAUUUUUUAAUCUACAUAACUUAUGUUAAUUGUUUAAUUAUCAGAAUAUAGAAGAUGACAUUUUAUGUUCUUUAGGAUAUAAGUAUAUAUUUAAUUAAUUUUGAUGUUCAAUACAUAUCUUUCUAAACUAAUUAAUGUCAAGGUUUGUUACUCAUUACAUGUUUGAUUGAUUUAUAUAAUUGAGGUUGUACUUAAUAUAAAUAUUUACUUUACAAUACUUAAUAGAAAACUCUGGUUCAUAAUCACUUUAUGAUUGUAUAAACAAAAUAAAAAGGGUAAAAAAAUACGUACUGCUGAAAAAUUGUCAUAUUUUCCUUUUUUUCUAUCUUUUAUGAGUAAUUUUCUUUCUUAUCUUUCAAAUGUACAAAUCAAGUGAUUUCGGAUACAGGUUGAUCUUUUGAAGGUUACACAUCUCAAACUUGUUUAUUUUGUCACUCUAUUCAUCUGUGUUUCCUCUUAUUUUCAAUUUUAUUCUUGCGUCACAAAUGAUUAUGAUAGAGUUUUUCGUAUUGUUUUGAUGAGAUUGAGAUGUUUUUUAGGAUUAUAAGGAUCUCACAAUAAUAAAGGUGGUGCUAAUGUAACACUGGAAAAAUGAUUGACUUGGUUUCCUUUAUAACAUACGGUCUCAUUUUCAUUUUCUUGUAAUUAUUCUAUUUUCUUUUUCAUUUUCAUUUUCUUGUAAUUAUUCUUUUUUCUUUUUUUUCUUUUUCAUUUUCUACUUAUAAUUAGUAUUUUAGCAUAUUUUUAGUCUAUAUAACUUAUGUUAAUUGUUUAAUUAUCAGAAUAUAGAAGAUGACAUUUUAUGUUGUUAAGGAUAUAAGUAUAUAUUUAAUUAAUUUUGAUGUUCAAUACAUAUCUUUCUAAACUAAUUAAUGUCAAGGUUUGUUACUCAUUACAUGUUUGAUUGAUUUAUAUAAUUGAGG
rnacentral:lncRNA from 1 species